GGCGAUGCACUGAGAGCGUAAACAUCUUCAGAUCACGUUUAUUUGUGUCAAGGUUUUAAGGCGAAAAUGAGAGGCUUCCGCUCUGAGAAAAUGAGGCUUAAUGCAUGUGCCGAAAAUUCGUCCCUGAUUAGCCUGUGCAGCCCGCACAUCAUGAAUGACACUUUCCGCUGUAGGAAGUCUCUUCUUAGCGAUAACGAAUUAAGGAGGAAAGUGCCGUCCCAUAUAAGCCUGUGCGGACUGCACAGAUUAAUCGCAUGUCGACCAUCACAGAAGACGUCGGUUGCUACGACAACGGCGGAUGCGAUGGCAACACGGCCCGGAAUCACCCGUGUGAAACCAUCAGAAGACACAACUGCUUUGAAAACUAGCAGGUUUUCAUUUUAUUUACCAUUCGAAUUGGAAGGCUAUUCAU